rnacentral:rRNA from 1 species
UAGCGGCAGGCCUAACACAUGCAAGUCGAGGGGCAGCAUUUCCAGCUUGCUGGAAGAUGGCGACCGGCGCACGGGUGCGCAACGCGUAUGGAACCUGCCCGCUGCAGGGGAAUAGCCCGGGGAAACCCGGAUUAAUGCCCCGUAGUACCGUUACACGGCAUCGUGUACCGGUUAGAGCCUACGGGCGGCAGCGGAUGGCCAUGCGUACCAUUAGCUGGUUGGUAAGGUAACGGCUUACCAAAGCUACGAUGGUUAGGGGCCCUGAGAGGGGGAUCCCCCACACUGGUACUGAGACACGGACCAGACUCCUACGGGAGGCAGCAGUGAGGAAUAUUGGACAAUGGGCGGGAGCCUGAUCCAGCCAUGCCGCGUGCAGGAUGAC